rnacentral:piRNA from 1 species
UGCAGGAGGCCUGCGAGUCGUACCUCGUU